GGCGAGCGGCGGACGGGUGAGCAAUACAUAGGAAUCUACCUUAGAGCGGGGGAUAGCCCGGGGAAACCCGGAUUAAUACCGCAUGAUGUCGAAAGACCAAAGUGGGGGACCGUAAGGCCCCACACUCCGAGAUGAGCCUAUGUCGGAUUAGCUAGUUGGCGGGGUAACGGCCCACCAAGGCGACGAUCCGUAGCUGGUCUGAGAGGACGAUCAGCCACACCGGAACUGAGACACGGUCCGGACUCCUACGGGAGGCAGCAGUGGGGAAUAUUGGACAAUGGGCGAAAGCCUGAUCCAGCGACGCCGCGUGGGUGAAAAAGGCCUUCGGGUUGUAAAGCCCUUUAAGCCGGGACGAAAAAGCCAGACCUAACACGUCUGGCCUUGACGGUACCGGAAGAAUAAGCACCGGCUAACUCUGUGCCAGCAGCCGCGGUAAUACAGAGGGUGCAAGCGUUAAUCGGAUUUACUGGGCGUAAAGCGUGUGUAGGUGGCUACCUAAGUCGAUUGUGAAAUCCCUGGGCUCAACCUGGGAAUUGCAGUCGAUACUGGGCAGCUCGAGUUCGGUAGAGGGUGACGGAAUUCCCGGUGUAGCGGUGAAAUGCGUAGAUAUCGGGAGGAACAUCGAUGGCGAAGGCAAUCACCUGGGCCUGAACUGACACUGUGACACGAAAGCGUGGGUAGCAAACAGGAUUAGAUACCCUGGUAGUCCACGCCGUAAACGAUGGGAACCUGACGUCGUCUGCUCUGCGGAUCGGUGUCGUACUAACGCGCUAAGUUCCCCGCCUGGGGAGUACGGCCGCAAGG
rnacentral:rRNA from 1 species